ACACACGUGCUACAAUGGAUGGUACAAAGGGCAGCGAAGCCGCGAGGUGAAGCCAAUCCCAUAAAGCCAUUCUCAGUUCGGAUUGCAGGCUGCAACUCGCCUGCAUGAAGCCGGAAUUGCUAGUAAUCGCGGAUCAGCAUGCCGCGGUGAAUACGUUCCCGGGCCUUGUACACACCGCCCGUCACACCACGAGAGUUGGUAACACCCGAAGUCGGUGAGGUAACCUUUUGGAGCCAGCCGCCGAAGGUGGGAUCAAUGAUUGGGGUGAAGUCGUAACAAGGUAGCCGUAUCGGAAGGUGCGGCUGGAUCACCUCCUUUCUAAGGA
rnacentral:rRNA from 1 species